GAUGAACGCUGGCGGCGUGCUUAACACAUGCAAGUCGAACGGAAAGGCCCAAGCUUGCUUGGGUACUCGAGUGGCGAACGGGUGAGUAACACGUGGGUGAUCUGCCCUGCACUUCGGGAUAAGCCUGGGAAACUGGGUCUAAUACCGGAUAGGACCACAUUUUGGAUGGUGUGGUGGAAAGUUUUUCGGUGUGGGAUGAGCUCGCGGCCUAACAGCUUGUUGGUGGGGUAAUGGCCUACCAAGGCGUCGACGGGUAGCCGGCCUGAGAGGGUGUACGGCCACAUUGGGACUGAGAUACGGCCCAGACUCCUACGGGAGGCAGCAGUGGGGAAUAUUGCACAAUGGGCGCAAGCCUGAUGCAGCGACGCCGCGUGGGGGAUGACGGCCUUCGGGUUGUAAACUCCUUUCGCUAGGGACGAAGCGCAAGUGACGGUACCUGGAGAGGAAGCACCGGCUAACUACGUG
rnacentral:rRNA from 1 species